CUGACGAGUGGCGGACGGGUGAGUAAUGCUUGGGAAUCUGGCUUAUGGAGGGGGAUAACGACGGGAAACUGUCGCUAAUACCGCGUAGUAUCGAGAGAUGAAAGUGCGGGACCGCAAGGCCGCAUGCCAUGAGAUGAGCCCAAGUGGGAUUAGGUAGUUGGUGGGGUAAAGGCCUACCAAGCCUGCGAUCUCUAGCUGGUCUGAGAGGAUGGCCAGCCACACUGGAACUGAGACACGGUCCAGACUCCUACGGGAGGCAGCAGUGGGGAAUAUUGCGCAAUGGGGGGAACCCUGACGCAGCCAUGCCGCGUGAAUGAAGAAGGCCUUCGGGUUGUAAAGUUCUUUCGGUAUUGAGGAAGGAGUGUAUGUUAAUAGCAUGCAUUAUUGACGUUAAAUACAGAAGAAGCACCGGCUAACUCCGUGCCAGCAGCCGCGGUAAUACGGAGGGUGCGAGCGUUAAUCGGAAUAACUGGGCGUAAAGGGCACGCAGGCGGUUAUUUAAGUGAGGUGUGAAAGCCCCGGGCUUAACCUGGGAAUUGCAUUUCAGACUGGGUAACUAGAGUACUUUAGGGAGGGGUAGAAUUCCACGUGUAGCGGU
rnacentral:rRNA from 1 species